rnacentral:rRNA from 1 species
CAGCCGCCGCGGGAAAACGGAGGGUGCAAGCGUUAAUCGGAAUUACUGGGCGUAAAGCGCACGCAGGCGGUUUGUUAAGUCAGAUGUGAAAUCCCCGAGCUUAACUUGGGAACUGCAUUUGAAACUGGCAAGCUAGAGUCUUGUAGAGGGGGGUAGAAUUCCAGGUGUAGCGGUGAAAUGCGUAGAGAUCUGGAGGAAUACCGGUGGCGAAGGCGGCCCCCUGGACAAAGACUGACGCUCAGGUGCGAAAGCGUGGGGAGCAAACAGGAUUAGAUACCCCGGUAGUCCCUGUCUCUUAUAC